rnacentral:rRNA from 1 species
CAGCCGCCGCGGGAAUACGAAGGGGGCUAGCGUUGCUCGGAAUGACUGGGCGUAAGGGGCGCGUAGGCGGCGGCCAAAGUCAGGCGUGAAAUUCCUGGGCUCAACCUUGGGGCUGCGCUUGAUACUUGGUUGCUUGAGUGGGGAAGAGGGUCGUGGAAUUCCCAGUGUAGAGGUGAAAUUCGUAGAUAUUGGGAAGAACACCGGUGGCGAAGGCGGCGACCUGGUCCUUGACUGACGCUGAGGCGCGAAAGCGUGGGGAGCAAACAGGAUUAGAUACCCCAGUAGUCCCUGUCUCUUAUAC